UUUCAAAUUAAAUCAGAGCAACCUUAGUUGAUCAUGUCAUCAACCAUGGGCUGACUAUGCGUGAGGCUGGACAGAGAGUGCAGCCAAACUUGAGCCGUUUUGCUGUCUCCUCUGUCAUCUGGACCUUUAGACUGGAAAACAGGUAUGUAACCAAAAUUUCAUGUAGUACACCCCAUGUCAUAGUGUAUCAUUGGGUGACACCUGUUUACUUAGUGUAUGACCAAUGUAUGAUCAGCCAUUCAUGAACUGUAAAAGUUUCCUGUACAAUGUACUCUACUGUGGGGGAAAACUAUUUAGGCUGCAUUGUCCAAGCCCUAUAUAUUUUUUUUAUAUUUUUUCUAAAGGACUGAGAGACGACACCCUGGUGGAGGGAGGGGCCAAAUGUUCACCGGGGUACAGGAAGCUGGCAUUGUAAACUUGGUUUUGGAACAUAAUGAAAUCAGAUUACGAGAAAUUCAAAGCCACAUCAUCCAAGACAACAUCUUAUUCAACAACAUUCAACGAGUCAGUCUGUCCACAUUGGCUCACAUUCUCAAGCGAAACAAAAUCAGAAUGAAACAACUUUAAGGUGCCGUUUGAGAGAAACUCUCAAAGAAACAAAGAGGUCAGACGAGCAUAUGCGGAUGGAAUGUGAUGAGAUUGAUGUGGGUGCAAUUCAGGGAUGGAUAAGGCACUCAAGGCGCUUCUUCCCUCGAUGUCUGGCAAGGGAAGAUAUUGCCUGUGAUGUUGACGAGGCGUUGUGGCCAGACCCGGCUGUGCGAGAAGAUCCUGCCUAAUUAUUUUUCUUGCCUUUUUUUUUUUUUUUUUUUUUUACUGUAAUAUAUUUUUUCUGAAAUUUUCUUUUUCAGUUUACUGUUUUUGUAAGAAUACUUUUGUUCAGUCCCAUGUAAAUAUUUCUGCUGUGCAUAUGUUGCACUGACUUGUUUACUGUAGUGAAAAAUAAAAUAAAGUUUCAACAGCA